rnacentral:rRNA from 1 species
GACGGAGGGGGCAAGCGUUGUCCGGAAUUACUGGGCGUAAAGGGCGCGUAGGCGGCUCAUUAAGUCGGUUGUGAAAGCCCCGGGCUCAACCCGGGGAGGCCAGCCGAUACUGGUGGGCUUGAGUGCAGGAGAGGGAAGCGGAACUGCCGGUGUAGCGGUGGAAUGCGUAGAUAUCGGCAGGAACACCCGCGGCGAAGGCGGCUUCCUGGACUGCUACUGACGCUGAGGCGCGAAAGCCAGGGGAGCGAACGGG